AAACCGCUGGAAGGGAAGCGAAUAGAGUUUGCAAUUCGCCUUGCCGGAUUCAGCCGCUCCAGCCUCGCGGCGCGCUCGGCUUCGAUCUUUCUAGACGAGCCUUGCACGCUCGCGUUGCUUUUGGCGGUGCACUUCCCGUUGGCGAAAGUCAACGUCGGUUUGCGCGGAGUCAAAAAGCUGCAAGCACGGUAGGUCUCUCACGAUCGGUAGGGCUUGCGAGCAAAUGGCUUCACGUAGACCGAGUUCUGUCGCAGCACGUACCUCCCCCUCCCGGGGCGGGCUGCUGUCCUUAUCGUUGAGUCGGUUUAAUGUCGCUGGACGGACGGCUUUGCCUGUGCGUCCCGGUGCGGCCGUUCAAACGAUGGGGCCAACAGACACGACGUGCUGAGGACGUUGACCGCCCGGCGGCUCUAUCCGACCCGUCUUGAAACACGGACCAAGGAGUCUAACAUGUGCGCAAGUCUCAGAGCGAUCGAAACUCGUUGGGCUUAAUGAAAGUGAAUGCAGUCACGGCUGCAGAGAUGAGAGGCUGCGACUCAGUUGUUGUAGCGGCAUCAUCGACCGACCUAUUCUACUCUUAGAAAGGUUUGAGUUAGAGCGCACCUGUUGGGACCCGAAAGAUGGUGAACUAUGCCUGAAUAGGGCGAAGCCAGCGGAAACACUGGUGGAAGCCCGUAGCGAUUCUGACGUGCAAAUCGAUCGUCGAAUUUGGGUAUAGCGGCGAAAGACUAAUCGAACCAUCUAGUAGCUGGUUCCCUCCGAAGUUUCUCACAGGAUAGCUGGAACUCGGUGGCAGU
rnacentral:rRNA from 1 species